rnacentral:lncRNA from 10 species
AGGUGACUCAAUGUUUUUGCUGGUCUGUGCAUGUCUGCAAAUGACCACAAACAUGCUACAAGUAUUGAUUUGGGGGUUACAAAUAAAUUUUAGCAAGUAUACAAAUUCCAGUGUACACCAGAAUUCAACAAGGCGAUGAUGAAGAACUUCGGAGGCACAGAAACUCGAGAUAGCAGCAUAGAGAGGGAAGUGAAGCCCCUGGCCUAAAUAGGCUUUGGAGUCAAGAGGCACUCCCCAUUGUGGGAAAAAGACGGAGUCUCACUUGUGUUGCCAAGAGAGCUUGAGCAUCAACUGGCAGUGAGGAUGGCAGGAAAGCAACUGACUUAUCCCCUCUCACCAGACCUUCCAACUGUCUGCAACACUGGCAUUGCCACGUAUCCCGGCACGUUGUUGAUCCCAUUGUGGCAUUGUGGUCAGAGAAUAUACAAAUCGCUGAAGAAUCCAUUGUUUAUGGACAUUCCUGGGAUAGUAUUCAUUUAAAUAUCUCUAUGUACACUGUAAUGGAAUAUAAUACAAAAAUGGAGUUGCACGCAAAAUGAGGGUACCACUCAGUAAAUGGUUCCACAGGGACGUCUGAUCCCCUACGAUCUGGGUUAAGAAAUGGUGUAGUGUAUUGCCGGCAGCUCAAAAGCACUCUCAUGCCAGUCACUCUUGUCUUCCACCUCAGCAAAUCUAACCACUCUUGUGACUUUUAACACUUGACGAUAAUCCUGCCUGUUUGUGAACGCAUUACACAUGAGUAGACUCAGUACAGUACGUAUUUUAUAAUCCGGGUUUCUCUUGGCAACAUUAGGUUUUUCUCCUUGCUAUUCACUUUUGUCGUGCUGUGUAGCUGAAUUUCGUUUCUUUGCAUUCCUGCGCAGUGUUUUGAAUUGUA